rnacentral:rRNA from 1 species
CAGUAGCCACGGGAAUACGUAGGGUGCAAGCGUUAUCCGGAAUUAUUGGGCGUAAAGAGCUCGUAGGCGGUUUGUCGCGUCUGCUGUGAAAACUGGAGGCUCAACCUCCAGCCUGCAGUGGGUACGGGCAGACUAGAGUGCGGUAGGGGAGAUUGGAAUUCCUGGUGUAGCGGUGGAAUGCGCAGAUAUCAGGAGGAACACCGAUGGCGAAGGCAGAUCUCUGGGCCGUAACUGACGCUGAGGAGCGAAAGCAUGGGGAGCGAACAGGAUUAGAUACCCCGGUAGUCCCUGUCUCUUAUAC